rnacentral:lncRNA from 1 species
CCUCAGGACAGAUUUAAAGACAUGGGAUCAGGGAUAACACAAUUAUCUAGAUUGGACUCCCUCACCCAGCCCAGAAAUCCCCUCUGUAGCUUCCUGAAGUGUUUCUGCCCUGAGCUGGGAUACUGGGAAAAGCAAGCAGCCUUUCUGCCCUUUGUAGCUGCACAAAUCCAGCAAACGAGAAGGUGCCAGACUUUAGUCAGCCUCACCCUUCAGCUGCAGUCUAGCUUUCCUGGACCUUGGAGUCAUAGAGGUUCCUUUUUGGAGGGAUGGCACAAGAUGAUGAUGAUGAUGAUGAUGAUGAUGAUGAUGAUGAUGAUGAUGAAGAGGAACGUCCAGGUCCUGAGUCGGUAACACAUGAUGACCAUGAAGGUCGACAGAGACAAGCCUUUUCUCCUGUGGUCCAUGUCCCUGUUGCCUGCCUUCUGUGAUCACUCAAUAGGUAAGGUCACUCUAACCCCUACCCUUCACCCUUAUCUCUGGUGUGCACUGUCGCUAGCAGCUUCCUCAUUCUGACUUUCUGUUCAGCAGAAUGUUGGCUGCACAUCCACGUCACACUCCAGUAGUCAGAUGUGUUUCUUACAGUGCUGGGAUGGAGGAGCUUUACACAUGCUAAGCAAGUGCUCUACCACUGAGUGAGACCCCUAACCUCCAUCAACCAGAGCUGAGUCCUCAGCACCUCUACUUGAGUUGACAAAUUGUGAGAAAUGAAGCAAUGCAGGCCUGAGCCUUGACUAUAGGCCUGCUGCCAGCCCUCAUAAGCCUGGGGUCCUUAAAUGUGUACCCACAUCAUAAAUAGUAGGAAGGUGGUGAUCUCUUCCAGGAGAGUGGGAUGGAGGUUGGGCUGCUCCCAUGGAAAUCAAUUUCUAGAAGAACUUUGGAGAUUAGCCAACCCUGCCCAUA